CCACCAUCCAUCCAUCCCUCCACUGCAUCUGCUGAGGGCUGUUGUGGGCAAGGUGCUGGAGUCAGAAGUCAUGUGGAAGCUGUGAAAUGUCACGAGGGCCUCUCUUUGGGUGACCGGUGCUUUCUGAUCUGUGACAAAGGCCUUCUUUGCCAUUCUCAUCUGUUAAGGAGGACAACCAACUACUCAGCCACCCUCAUGACAUGACAGCUUUCAAUCCCCAGGUUAUGAUGCUCCCUUUAUCUUCAUUGCUCAGUGAUGAUCACUUGGCUGUGGCUCUUAGAUGCUCUCCAUCUCUCCCUCGAAUGCCAUCUACCAAGUUUCUCCCUCAUGCUUUGUUUGUGGCAAACACUUAAGGGCAAGUGCCUAAAAAAUAAAAGCAUCU